GCCCGUAUUGCUUUGGCAGUACGCUGGCUUCUUAGAGGGACUAUCGGCUCAAGCCGAUGGAAGUUUGAGGCAAUAACAGGUCUAUGAUUCCCUUAGAUGUUCUUGGCCGCACACGCACUACACUAAUGUAUUCAACGAGUAUAUAGCCUUGGUCGAUAGGCUCG
rnacentral:rRNA from 1 species